rnacentral:rRNA from 1 species
UAAUAGUUAUGGUCUUGAAACUUAAAGAACUUGGCGGUAAGUUAAUUUUUUUAGGGGAACUUGUUAUUUAAUUGAUAUUACACAAUUUAUCUUACUUAAUUUUUCUAUGUAUAUCGCCGUUUGAAAAAUUUUUAGAGAAUUAGUUUAAAUUUUUUAUAUAUAAUUAUUUUGUAUUAAAAUCAGGUCAAGGUGCAGGUAAUAAUUAAGGUUUAAAUGAGUUACUAUUUUAAGAAGUAUUUGGAUUUAGGGGUGAAAUCUUUUUUUGAAAUUGGACUUAAAAGUAAUUAAAAAUUAAAAAGUUUUUUUGGAUAAAACUCUAAUUUAUGU